rnacentral:rRNA from 1 species
UACGUAGGGACCAAGCGUUGUUCGGAUUUACUGGGCGUAAAGGGCGCGUAGGCGGCAAUUCAAGUCAUCUGUGAAAUCUCCGGGCUUAACUCGGAACGGUCAGGUGAUACUGUUUUGCUAGAGUGCGGAAGGGGCAAUCGGAAUUCUUGGUGUAGCGGUGAAAUGCGUAGAUAUCUGGAGGAACACCGGUGGCGAAGGCGGCAUCCUGGACCGACACUGACGCUGAGGAGCGAAAGCCAGGGGAGCAAACGGG